GUAGGGUGCAAGCGUUAAUCGGGAAUUACUGGGGCGUAAAGCGUGCGCAGGCGGUUUUGUAAGUCUGAUGUGAAAUCCCCGGGGCUCAACCUGGGAAUUGCAUUGGAGACUGCAAGGCUAGAAUCUGGCAGAGGGGGGUAGAAUUCCACGUGUAGCAGUGAAAUGCGUAGAUAUGUGGAGGAACACCGAUGGCGAAGGCAGCCCCCUGGGUCAAGAUUGACGCUCAUGCACGAAAGCGUGGGGAGCAAACAGGAUUAGAUACCCUGGUAGUCCACGCCCUAAACGAUGUCUACUAGUUGUCGGGUCUUAAUUGACUUGGUAACGCAGCUAACGCGUGAAGUAGACCGCCUGGGGAGUACGGUCGCAAGAUUA
rnacentral:rRNA from 1 species